rnacentral:lncRNA from 1 species
UUCUAAUCUCAUGUAUAUGACAUGGCUCUGAUACCAUUGUUGGAGUUUCAUGAUUUUAUGUAUGUAAAAAUCUUCAAAAUAAGUAUGUAGUGAAAUUAAAAAUUUUCAAAUUAAAUCUAAUUUAAUCUAAGCAUGCAUAAGAUCAAAUCUUAAAAUCAUAAAUAGAAUCAUCAUAUAUGAGAUAGGAUUCAGAUACAAAAAUUAAGUAGAAAAAAAUAAAUAAAGAACAUACCUUGGCAUG